rnacentral:rRNA from 1 species
CAGUCGCCGCGGUAAAACGUAGGUGGCAAGCGUUGUCCGGAAUUAUUGGGCGUAAAGCGCGCGCAGGCGGUUUCCUAAGUCUGAUGUGAAAGCCCCCGGCUUAGCCGGGGAGGGUCAUUGGAAACUGGGAGACUUAGAGUGCAGAAGAGGAGAGUGGAAUUCCAUGUGUAGCGGUGAAAUGCGUAGAUAUAUGGAGGAACACCAGUGGCGAAGGCGACUCUCUGGUCUGUAACUGACGCUGAGGAGCGAAAGCGUGGGGAGCGAACAGGAUUAGAUACCCCAGUAGUCCCUGUCUCUUAUA